GUCUACAGCCACACUACCCAGAAUGUGCCCGAUCUCUUCUGAUCUCAGAAGCUAUGCAGGGUUGGGCCUAGUUAAUACUUGGGUGGGAGAAGAGU
rnacentral:rRNA from 1 species